UCGGGCCAUGGAGGCGGCGGGGGCGCUGGGGCUCUACGCGCUGCUUUACUACAACUUCGGGGCGGCCACCUGGUGCCGGAACACGGUCAGCCUGCGGGGCAAAACGGUGCUCAUCACAGGGGGAAAUGAAGGGAUGGG